UAGUGCCAAAUCUAUGCAAUUUGCUUCACCAUAUUCGUCCUCCACUAAAAGGGUAAAUGCUUAUGAAGUUAACACAUCUGUUCAGCAUAGAAAUCCUACCACAUCAAACAAAAUGUCUGUUCGGACUAUUGUUUUCAGUCUAGAAGAAAUUUUGUUUCUAGAAGAAUGACACAGCCAUUCUUUUCUGGUAUAUGGGAGUACAUUAGGAAAGCUGAUGCCUCAUGCAUUUACACGUUCACUUUGAACAACUUUAAAACUAAUUUUGGUUGAAGUACUGUAUCUUCAAUAGUAUGAACUUAAAAUAUUGCUGAAAUUACUACUAUAGGACCAAACCACUACACUGUAAUUAAAAAUCAUUUAUUUUUUCAGUACCUUUCAGUACCUUCUAGUUGUCCAGACAAGGUUGAUGCUUUUUUUUUUUUUUUUUUCCCUGAUCGUUUGCUUUUUUUUCCAAAGCAUCUUCUGCAGUGUUUCUUUCCUACUUGUUUUUUCCUAUGGCUUCACCCUUUUAAUUGUUCUGUCAGAUUACAUGGAAGCUUUUGAAUGAACAAUUUAUAUAUAUAUUUCUAAUAUAUUUUCAAAUAUGAAAUUAGACUGACCAAGCUGUAACUUUCCAGAUUCCCUUUUUUUUUCUCUUAGAGGUGUGUGUGGUGUUUGCCUGGCAUACCUCUAGGAUUUUGGAGAGCUGUGCAUGUUAAUGUCUACUCUUGCCGCCUUCUCUUUCCUGUCUGUGUGGGGACACCGUCUGUCAGGGUGGCCAAGCCCAUCAGUACGCAGCUGCAGGGUUGCCUGGAGAUGGUGACACCCGUCCUGGCACAGGGAAGUGUAACAGCACGGGGAGCACCACCUGUAAAAUUCAGGCAGCAGCAAGCCCUAAGUGGGACAUUGACUGGAACCACAGCUGGAUGGCACAACCCGUGAUCCCCUAGUGGCCAGGGAUGUCUCCACAAUUGUCUUCUUCCUCCCAGGACUGAGUGAGUGACACGUUCUUUUAGGUAAAGCCCCGAAACAAGGUUAUGACUGUACCGUGAACCGAAAAAAAAGGAUUUGACCCCGUCUGCAGAGGGUCUGGCCAGGUGACUGAAAAAAAAAGGUGACUCCGUAACUGAGAAUUCUAGAAACUCUGUGCAACUGCAGGCUUUGCUAAGUGCUAGAAAUUGUAGACAACAAGCUAUGCUGAUUGUCAAUUUAUUUCUUCUGUAAUAUAAAUCUCUAAUUAUAACCAGAACUGUGUGGCCUGUCCUCAUUCUGCCAAGGAUCUGUAAAGAAUCUGUCUGUCCUCCAUAGUGUUGGGUGACAAGUUGUAAAUCUCAAAAAAAAAAAAAAAAAAGGUUUAUAGUGUGUUAAACAAACAUGAGAAUGAUCUUUAUCCAUAUCCCUAGUUCAAUCUGUAUUAGCCAUUUGUAUGACUAAAAAAUCUCCUUUUUUUUUUUUUUUUCCUUGAAUCACAUCAGUGACACUCUGGAAAAAUCUGUGCUCAUUAAUAUAGCUUGAUAAGCCUUCUGGACACAACAUUCCACUGAGUUUGGGCAUCAUACUGAAGCAUAGAUGUUCUCCAGCUCAGGACUUUUAACAGCAGUCUUGAAGAAGGCAGAGGACAUUCAGCCAGACUGAGUGUUGGCAGCCUUUCCCAGGGAGAUCUGGAAAGUAGCAAACAGAGAAAAAUGAAUACUAAACUAAUUAUAGAAAAAUGUGAAUCAUGCAUUUUCCUUUUUUAAGGUAGAAGUCUGAAUCGUGUACUCUCAUUAGUUAAUUAAAAAACCCUCUUGUCUGAAGAAAUAAAGGAAUUAAUAAACUGUGGAUGGUGAGACCAAGAAUUCAGAAGGUGUGCUGAUGUGCCAGAUUAAGUAAAUAACUAUUUUCCAGAAGCAGUUGAUUCAGAUUAUAAAUAAAGGCCAAAAGGACCAUUAGAUUAUCUAGUCCAAAGCUGUCUACGCAGCAGCCUGACCUAUACUCAGCAUGCCGGAGAGCCCUGUCUGGCUCCUCAAAUGUUUGUGAAAAUUGCUUAGUGCAUCCAUACACACCCAGAUAUACUACCACAAUGUCCUGAUCAUGACCAGAUGAUUCAUCCAGGGAGAGAAGGAGUUCAGAUAGCUCUAAUGUGGCCUUUUCUGUUCUCUUAUAUUUAAAAAGCCUUAUGAAAUAACUGCUUAGUCCUGUAAUGAUAGCAAUCACGUGUAAGAAAUCUUUUCUACGUUAGAAGACUCAGCAUGUUUCCAUUGCACAAUGUCUUGUUCCGUGCAUAAAGGGGCUUUAAUGUCAUGACUAGAGCAAGGCAGAUGUAUGCUGUUACGCAAGAGAAAAACAUGUCUGUGGAACCUCUCUGAUAAGUAUGCAUAGUGAGACAAUACCAGCGACUGAAUAUUGUAAAGGAAAAUACAUAUGGGCUGUGACU
ensembl:lncRNA